GACGAACGCUGGCGGCGUGCUUAACACAUGCAAGUCGAACGAAGUGGCGAACGGGUGAGUAAUACGUCGGUAACCUGCCCUCCUUUUUGGGAUAAGCCUUGGAAACGGGGUCUAAUACCGAAUAAAGGGGGAUGGGCUCGCGGCGUUACAGCGUGUUGGGGGGGUGAUGGCCUACCGAGGCUGUGACGGGUGGCCGGCCGGAGAGGGUGACCGGCAACGUGGGGAGUGGGAAACGGCCAAGACACCUACGGGAGGCAGACGUGGGGGAUAGUGCACAAUGGACGAAGACCUGAUGCAGGGGCACCGCGUGGGGGAUGAGGGCUUUCGGGUUGUAAACCUCUUUGGCUAUCGAACGGGUAGGUGGAGAAGAAGCGCCGGCUAACUACGUGCCAGCAGCCGCGGUAAUAC
rnacentral:rRNA from 1 species